GGUUAGCUCAGUUGGUAGAGCAUCAGAUUUAGACUCUGGAAGUCACGGGUUCGACUCCCGUACCCCCA
rnacentral:tRNA from 1 species